CACAAACACUCAUUAACUUGUGGUGUUGUCACAUUCUGUUUUAUUUUACUCCACUAACAGUAAACCACCAGCUACCCCUGGUAUUAAAAAUAACCCACAUUUAUCUUUCGGGUUGUCACUUAACUUGGACAUCUCUACCUUGAUUUCACAGAAGGAGCUGCACAUACAGAAGACAGAGGCAAGGCUGGGGCAAGAAUCAUCUUACUUUCUGGUUAUUUCUUUGCCAGAGCCAUUGAAACGUUUGCAAAAUAGCAGAGGGUUCCAGAUGGGAGGAGCCAUUGUUCAAAGUCCAGACCACCCAGCGGGCAUGUCAGACCCGUAAGACGUUAUCCCCAACGGAAGAAACAAUGGCAGAGAAAGGAAAUCAUGUGUUUGCUGGGAGUGAAUUUUCCAGAAGGCACCUUGGCCUCAUGACACAGAAGGUCUGAUUUCAACUCUGCCAGUGAAGAACUGAGAGACCCUGGACAAGUUGUCUCGCCUUUCUGAUCAAUUGCUAUACCUAAAAUAGAUAACCAAGGACAGAAAUUACAUUCCUCCGUAGAACCUUGUAAUGGUUUUAAGUAACUGAAGGACCAAGAAGAUAUUUACUCUUCGGCUAAAAUAGUCAUGCUCUGCCGCCCAGGCUGGAGUGCAAUGGCGCAAUCUUGGCUCACUACAACUUCUGCCUCCUGGGUUCAAGCGGUUCUCCUGUCUCAGCUGAAUAACUUUUAUUAUUAGGGCAUAAGCAUGUAACCCAACCCCAGUGGAGGAGUUUAAAGAUGUAGCUAUGUGUGAACAUAAUUCCUGGAGCUAUGGCAGCCUACUUGGGAAACUCUGAGGAUGCAAACCAACAUGCUGGGGAUAGCACACAGGAAAGCAGAAAGCACAUGGGUUGAGUGCUUGAUGAUAUUGUUGGGUCCCUGAAUUCACUAAGCCUGAAAAUGAUACCCCCGGAGAUAAUAAACAUUAUUUAAGCUUUAUGUAGUUACAUAUUCCAUUAUUUGUUACUUCAGUAUGCAUUCAGCAUACAACUGAGACGGCUAAGCUUCGAGGUGUGGGGAGAAGGAGGAGGAUUGAUGGUAGCGCAGCAGAAAAGGAAAUUAGAGAAAGGCCGCUUCUAUUGGGUAUGCACUAUAAAUCUCUACUCCACUCUUUUGGGGAAGCCUCAGUCAAUUCCACAUGGUUCGUGAAUACUUCUGGUGUUCAUGGAUUGUUCUGGGGCACUUGAAGAAGGGUUGAGAUCUAUAUCAAGAAUGAUGCCUGAUGAAAACAGAGGCCCAGCUGGAAACAGCUGCACUUCUGGGAUACAUAAGAAUUUGAGAUUAUAUGCAAUAAAUGAUAGAUGCUAUUAUCACUAUAUGAAAUAAAUGACAGAUGCUAUGAUUACUAUAUUAUCCGUAUUAUCUUAGCCCCUGACUGGUAGGCAGAAAGGAGGUAGAAACUAGAUGCUCGUGGGUGGGGAUGUACCUGGAGCAGACCCUGUAGUUGUCCUUGAGAAGAAGCCUGUGACCAAGGCUAUAUGAAGACAGCAAGGGACUGAGCAGCAACUGGCAGCAGCCCCAGUGGAUGAGCAGUAGCAGAGCUUCUGUAACUCUACAGAUGGGACCAAAGACUGGAUCCCAAUUAGCGGAACGAAGGUCUGAAAUCAGAGCAGGCUCAACACAAGUCUUACUUAUUGUUUUGGAACAUGGUUUCCUGAAUUCUCCCUGACUAGGAAAGAACUGGUUCUAUAUCUCAGGUUGGGACUGACCUUCAACCUUCCACACAGAAAUGAAGUUGCCUUAAGAAUGUUACA